rnacentral:tRNA from 1 species
GGGUGUGUAGCUCAGUGGGAGAGCGGCUAACAGCAGAUCAGCAGGUUCUCGGAUCAAACCCGGGCGCGCACU